rnacentral:rRNA from 1 species
UAAUAGCGUAUAUUAAAGUUGUUGCAGUUAAAAAGCUCGUAGUUGGACCUUGGACCUGGACAGGCGGUCCGCCUCACGGCGUGUACUGUCUUGCUGGGUCUUUCCUCUUGGUGAUCUGUUGUUUCGGCAGCAGGGAACCAGGACUUUUACUUUGAAAAAAUUAGAGUGUUCAAAGCAGGCUCGACGCCGGAAUAUAUUAGCAUGGAAUAAUAAAAUAGGACGUGCGGUUCUAUUUUGUUGGUUUUUGGAAUCGCCGUAAUGAUUAAUAGGGACAGUCGGGGGCAUUAGUACUCACAUGCUAGAGGUGAAAUUCUUGGAUUUUGUGAAGACUAACUUCUGCGAAAGCAUUUGCCAAGGAUGUUUUCAUUAA